rnacentral:tRNA from 1 species
AAUGAUUUGGCAGAUUAGUGCAUUAAAUUUAGAAUUUAAAUAAGUAUAUUAAAGUACAUUCAUUA